rnacentral:rRNA from 1 species
GUGAAUCAUCGAAUCUUUGAACGCACAUUGCGCCCGCCAGUACUCUGGCGGGCAUGCCUGUUCGAGCGUCAUUUCAACCCUCGAGCCCCCCGCGGGCUCGGUGUUGGGGACCGGCGAACGCCGCCGCCGCAGCAGCAGCAAGGCGUGCGCCGCCCCCGAAAUGAAUUGGCGGUCUCGUCGCGGCCCCCUCUGCGCAGUAGUUGCGGCUCGCAGCAGGAGCGCGGCGCGGCCACUGCCGUAAACGCCCGAACCCUCCUAGCAGUUGACCUCGAAUCAGGUAGGAAUACCCGCUGAACUUAAGCAUAUCAAUAAGGCGAGG